UGCUAAUUGGGUAUAUAUGCUUAUUCCAAAUGGCUUUCUGUUGUAUUCUUCUUUCAAAUAGCACGCCCAUACGGUCGGUGGUAGGAAAGGCUGUGGGAUUACAGUUGGCGAGCAGAUUUUUGUUUCCUUUCAAUGGAUGAUUAAAUCAGUGUUUCCAAUGUGCAGCUGUCUGCAUUUUACGCGGCUUUCCUGCAUUAUAUUUUCCUAUAAAUCCUUCUAUACUUGCCCCAUUCUCCAUCAGAUAAACACAAUGGAGUUGAAAAAUGUGUGUUCUGCAGCAUGGAUAUUAAUGUUCAUCUUGCCCACAGUCUUCUGCUGUGAUCGGUGUGUUCACAAAUCAAAAGUGGCCUAUUACUCUUCCUCCCAGCCUGUCAAUGAUCUAUUUUAUUUUGCAGGAUUAGCUGCAAAAUUCUACAUGGUAUCAGAGCCAGAUUGUUAGGAAGAAGAAGUUAGACAAAUUAUUUGCAGGCAGAUUUCUGAAGAUUAGCAUCACCAUGGAAGCUGACGUCUAUUUCUGAAUGCAUGCAUAUUCUUUUCCUAAUUUUUGCAUGCUCCUUGCUUUUUUUUCCUACAUUGAUUCUUUAAAAUUGUAUGUGCUUUGCAAGCACCACAUGAUGAAGAUCUGGAAAUUUUGGGGCUUUGUAAAAAUUAAACUUUUAGAAAGUUUAUAUGGGGUUUUGCUUGAUGCAUUUAGUCUAGGUUUCUUUCAAUAAAUCGAAGAUUAAAGUUUCUAUGCACUCUUCCUCCAAUUGACAACCAAAAAUGUUCUUUUUUUCUAAAUUCUUGUCUACAUGAGAUUCCAAUGUUGCAACUUUGUUUGCUCCUAGAGAUUCUUUCUAGCAGGGUUCCUGACUACAUGAGAUUCCAGAGUCGCAUCUUCGAGUGCUUCUAGAGUUUCUUUCUAGUGGGACAUUAUUGAGCAAUGGAUAUACAAUGGCAUCAUCCCAAUCGGAGGUCAUCUUUGCAGUUCUUCAGCUUUGAGCACAUUUAUUCAGAUUCAUAUCUUCCUGUCUUCAGAUGAUCAGUUUUUGUAUUCAGAGACCGUGUACUUGUCUGUUCAUCCAUUUGAGCAAUGCAUAAUAUGUACAAUUGCAUUUUCAAAGUAUCCUAGAGGUACUCAUGCAGUGGUUUCUAUGAUUCUGUACAAUCCUGUUGCAGUGUGGAUUCAUUUGCAGUUUGCAACUUUCUUCUCUAGUUUGAAUAAAUGGUUAGGAGUUUUUCUCAA